GUCCACGCUGUAAACGAUGAAUACUAGGUGUUGGAUUGUAAAUUCAGUGCCGCAGCUAACGCAUUAAGUAUUCCACCUGGGAGUACGAUCGCAAGGUUGAAACUCAAAGGAAUUGACGGGGCCCGCACAAGCAGUGGAGCAUGUGGUUUAAUUCGAUGCAACGCGAAGAACCUUACCUAGGCUUGAAAGGCAAGUGACCGGCUGUGAAAGCAGCCUUCCCGCAAGGGCACUUGUACAGGUGCUGCAUGGCUGUCGU
rnacentral:rRNA from 1 species